rnacentral:rRNA from 1 species
AGUGAACGCUGGCGGUAGGCCUAACACAUGCAAGUCGAACGGCAGCACAGUAAGAGCUUGCUCUUACGGGUGGCGAGUGGCGGACGGGUGAGGAAUACAUCGGAAUCUACUUUUUCGUGGGGGAUAACGUAGGGAAACUUACGCUAAUACCGCAUACGACCUACGGGUGAAAGGAGGGGAUCUUCUGACCUUGCGCGAUUGAAUUAGCCGAUGUCGGAUUAGCUAGUUGGGGGGGUAAAGGCCCACCAAGGCGACGAUCCGUAGCUGGUGUGAGAGGAUGGUAGGCCACACGGGAGCUGGGACACGGACCAGGCUCCUGCGAGAGGCAGCAGUGGGGAAUAUGGGACAGUGGGCGCAAACCUGAUCCAGCCAGACCGCGUGGGUGAAAGAGGCCUUCGGGUUGUAAAGCCCUUUUGUUGGGAGAGAAAAGCAGCAGGUUAAUACGCCGCUGUUCUGACGGUACCCGAAGAAUAAGCACCGGCUAACUUCGUG